UGUAAUGAUGACUCAUUAGACUAGAGUUUCUGAUUUACCCAUGAAUGUCUUCACAGUGCACUGAACA